AGCAUCUAAGCGCGAAGCCCCCCUCAAGAUGAGAUUUCCCAAUUAGUAAGACCCCUUGAAGACGACGAGGUUGAUAGGUUCGGGGUGGAAGCACAGUAAUGUGUGGAGCUGACGAAUACUAAUCGGUCGAGGGCUUAUCCUA
rnacentral:rRNA from 1 species